rnacentral:rRNA from 1 species
GCGAGUCGAAUGUAGCAAUACAUGGCGUACUGCUCAGUAACACGUGGAUAACCUACCCUUGGGACGGGGAUAAACCCGGGAAACUGGGUAUAAUACCCGAUAGAUCUCGGACGCUGGAAUGCAUCGAGAUCGAAAGCUCCGGCGCUCAAGGAUGGAUCUGCGGCCUAUCAGGUAGUAGUGGGUGUAGCGUACCUACUAGCCUACGACGGGUACGGGUUGUGAGAGCAAGAGCCCGGAGAUGGAUUCUGAGACACGAAUCCAGGCCCUACGGGGUGCAGCAGGCGCGAAAACUUUACAAUGCUGGAAACAGCGAUAAGGGGACCUCGAGUGCCAGGUUACAAAUCUGGCUGUCGUGAUGCCUAAAACGCAUUGCAUAGCAAGGGCCGGGCAAGACCGGUGCCAGCCGCCGCGGUAACACCGGCGGCUCGAGUGGUAACCGUUAUUAUUGGGUCUAAAGGGUCUGUAGCCGGCCGGAUAAGUCUCUUGAGAAAUCUGGCAGCUUAACUGUCAGGCUUUCAGGAGAUACUGUCUGGCUCGGGGCCGGGAGAGGUGAGAGGUACUUCAGGGGUAGGGGUGAAAUCUUGUAAUCCUUGAAGGACCACCAGUGGCGAAGGCGUCUCACCAGAACGGACCUGACGGCAAGGGACGAAAGCUAGGGGCACGAACCGGAUUAGAUACCCGGGUAGUCCUAGCCGUAAACGAUACUCGCUAGGUGUCGGCCACGGUGCGACCGUUGUCGGUGCCGUAGGGAAGCCGUGAAGCGAGCCACCUGGGAAGUACGGCCGCAAGGCUGAAACUUAAAGGAAUUGGCGGGGGAGCACCACAACGGGUGGAGC